UACGUAGGGGGCAAGCGUUGUCCGGAUUUAUUGGGCGUAAAGAGCGUGUAGGCGGUCCGGUAAGUCCGCUGUGAAAGUCGGGGGCUCAACCCUCGAAUGCCGGUGGAUACUGUCGGGCUAGAGUGCGGAAGAGGCGAGUGGAAUUCCUGGUGUAGCGGUGAAAUGCGCAGAUAUCAGGAGGGAACACCGAUGGCGAAGGCAGCUCGCUGGAG
rnacentral:rRNA from 1 species